rnacentral:rRNA from 1 species
CACUAUCGUUAACUGAAUACAUAGGUUAACGAGGCGAACCGGGGGAACUGAAACAUCUAAGUACCCCGAGGAAAAGAAAUCAACCGAGAUUCCCCCAGUAGCGGCGAGCGAACGGGGGGCAGCCCAGAGUCUGAAUCAGCUUGUGUGUUAGUGGAACGGUCUGGAAAGUCCGACGGUACAGGGUGAUAGUCCCGUACACCAAAAUGCACAGGUUGUGAACUCGAAGAGUAGGGCGGGACACGUGGUAUCCUGUCUGAAUAUGGGGGGACCAUCCUCCAAGGCUAAAUACUCCUGACUGACCGAUAGUGAACCAGUACCGUGAGGGAAAGGCGAAAAGAACCCCGGCGAGGGGAGUGAAAAAGAACCUGAAACCGUGUACGUACAAGCAGUGGGAGCACCUUCGGGUGUGACUGCGUACCUUUUGUAUAAUGGGUCAGCGACUUAUAUUCUGUAGCAAGGUUAACCGUAUAGGGGAGCCGCAGGGAAACCGAGUCUUAACUGGGCGUUAAGUUG